rnacentral:rRNA from 1 species
UAUUCCCCACUGCUGCCUCCCGUAGGAGUCUGGGCCGUAUCUCAGUCCCAAUGUGGCCGGUCACCCUCUCAGGCCGGCUACCCGUCAAAGCCUUGGUAAGCCACUACCCCACCAACAAGCUGAUAAGCCGCGAGUCCAUCCCCAACCGCCGAAACUUUCCAACCCCCACCAUGCAGCAGGAGCUCCUAUCCGGUAUUAGCCCCAGUUUCCUGAAGUUAUCCCAAAGUCAAGGGCAGGUUACUCACGUGUUACUCACCCGUUCGCCACUCGAGCACCCCACAAAAGCAGGGCCUUUCCGUUCGACUUGCAUGUGUUAAGCACGCCGCCAGCGUUCAUCCUGAGCCAA